UACGUAGGGGGCAAGCGUUGUCCGGAUUUAUUGGGCGUAAAGAGCGUGUAGGCGGCCUUACAGGUCAGCUGUGAAAACUCGAGGCUCAACCUCGAGACGUCGGUUGAAACCGUAUGGCUAGAGUCCGGAAGAGGAGAGUGGAAUUCCCGGUGUAGCAGUGAAAUGCGCAGAUAUCGGGAAGAACACCCGUGGCGAAGGCGGCUCUCUGGGACGGUACUGACGCUGAGACGCGAAAGCGUGGGGAGCGAACAGG
rnacentral:rRNA from 1 species